UUACAGCCCAGAAACUUAAGGCAAGGCUGCACUGCUGACGACACUACAUGCUUUAGCCAUAGAACACACAGCAAUGAUGCUAGUGACAAGAGGCUUCAUCCCGAUUGGCUGGUUUUCAUAAUGCUUGAACGUACUGUGCAAUCUACUGGAUGAGUAAACUAACUGCCAGUCACAACUGCCUGUGACCACUUCAAGUUCCAGUAACAGCUGACCUGGCAACCUGCCGCUGGAUGUAAAAGUGGCCUGAUGUAACAGGAGUAACAAGUUUGAUGUCUGGAACACAAUAGAUGCCCAACAAAUGCAUGUGCUAUCUCGGAGAGAUUGAUCUCAGGAGCUGGACACUUGGAUUACAAGCAUAUUUCUCCUUGCACACUUUCAUGGGAGGAUCAAAAUGAAUGAGCUAAAAGUUAAAAGUGUCCUUCUGUGACUUAAUAACCUCCUAAUUGAUGUCCAUGCCU
rnacentral:lncRNA from 1 species